rnacentral:rRNA from 1 species
GACGAACCGUGCGAACGUUGUUCGGAAUCACUGGGCAUAAAGGGCGCGUAGGCGGCUUAUCAAGUCAGGGGUGAAAUCCGGCAGCUUAACUGUCGAAGUGCCCUUGAUACUGACGAGCUCGAGGGAGAUAGGGGUGUGUGGAACUUCCGGUGGAGCGGUGAAAUGCGUUGAUAUCGGAAGGAACGCCGGUGGCGAAAGCGACACACUGGAUCUCUUCUGACGCUGAGGUGCGAAAGCGUGGGGAGCAAACAGG